rnacentral:lncRNA from 1 species
UUUUCUUGUUACAUUGUUCUUGAGUUAAACAUUACUCAUUUACUUAUACUCUUCACUCGAAUAUCUUAUGGCCUUAAUCUUUUUGGUUUGGCCAUUUUAGGUGAUGGAAGUUCUCCUGUUGAAGUCACUAGUGUGGAUAUACGUGAAGAUAAGGGCAUGGCAAGCUUUCAGAUAUCCGGUUCUACAAGUACCUAAGUCCUAACUGAUUCCCAUUGACCAAUCUUCUUCAUUUUCAUCCAAGUUUUCACUGCUAGUUUGGUUUCCUAUUUAUUUUUCUUGGUAAAAUCUUUUGUGUAAGCAGGUAAAAGUAUCAGUAAAGGGUUCAUGAGUGUGAAAGCUAGAGUAGG